UUUUGCAUGUGGAUUAUGAUCAACGAUCGCAUUACCGACAGCAUGCAGCAGGUGAGUUUUACCCAGGCCGGUUCCACCGUA
rnacentral:antisense_RNA from 1 species